rnacentral:misc_RNA from 1 species
AACAUACCUAAACGUUGCUUCGGCGGGAAUAGACGGCCCCGUGAAACGGGCCGCCCCCGCCAGAGGACCCUUAACUCUGUUUCUAUAAUGUUUCUUCUGAGUAAAACAAGCAAAUAAAUUAAAACUUUCAACAACGGAUCUCUUGGCUCUGGCAUCGAUGAAGAACGCAGCGAAAUGCGAUAAGUAAUGUGAAUUGCAGAAUUCAGUGAAUCAUCGAAUCUUUGAACGCACAUUGCGCCCGCCAGUAUUCUGGCGGGCAUGCCUGUUCGAGCGUCAUUACAACCCUCAGGCCCCCGGGCCUGGCGUUGGGGAUCGGCGGAGCCUCUCUGUGGGCACACGCCGUCCCCCAAAUACAGUGGCGGUCCCGCCGCAGCUUCCAUCGCGUAGUAGCUAACACCUCGCGACUGGAGAGCGGCGCGGCCACGCCGUAAAACACCCAACUCUUCUGAA